GACGAACGCUGGCGGCGUGCUUAACACAUGCAAGUCGAACGGAAAGGCCCUGCUUUUGUGGGGCGCUCGAGUGGCGAACGGGUGAGUAACACGUGAGUAACCUGCCCUUGACUUUGGGAUAACUUCAGGAAACUGGGGAUAAUACCGGAUAGGAGCUCCUGCUGCAUGGUGGGGGUUGGAAAGUUUCGGCGGUUGGGGAUGGACUCGCGGCUUAUCAGCUUGUUGGUGGGGUAGUGGCUUACCAAGGCUUUGACGGGUAGCCGGCCUGGGAGGGUGACCGGCCACAUUGGGACUGAGAUACGGCCCAGCCUCCUACGGGAGGCAGCAGUGGGGAAUAUUGCACAAUGGGCGGAGGCCUGAUGCAGCAACGCCGCGUGCGGGAUGACGGCCUUCGGGCUGUAAACCGCUUUCGCCUGUGACGAGGCGUGAGUGACGGUAAUGGGUAAAGAAGCACCGGCUAACUACGUG
rnacentral:rRNA from 1 species